CCUACGGGAGGCAGCAGUGAGGAAUAUUGGUCAAUGGGCGCGAGCCUGAACCAGCCAAGUCGCGUGAAGGAAGACUGCCCUACGGGUUGUAAACUUCUUUUAUCAAGGAAUAAAGUGAGGGACGUGUGCCUUUCUGUAUGUACCUUAUGAAUAAGGAUCGGCUAACUCCGUGCCAGCAGCCGCGGUAAUACGGAGGAUCCGAGCGUUAUCCGGAUUUAUUGGGUUUAAAGGGUGCGUAGAUGGGUUGUUAAGUCAGUGGUGAAAGUUUGCGGCUCAACCGUAAAAUUGCAGUUGAAACUGGCAGUCUUGAGUACAGUUGAGGUAGGCGGAAUGCGUGGUGUAGCGGUGAAAUGCUUAGAUAUCACGAAGAACUCCGAUUGCGAAGGCAGCUUACUAAACUGCCACUGACAUUGAUGCUCGAAAGUGUGGGGAUCAAACAGGAUUAGAGACCCGUGUAGUC
rnacentral:rRNA from 1 species